CCAGUACAGCUGAAGAACACUUCUGCUUUGGUCUCAGUCCUUCUCCAUUCACUGAGGCUCGUUUUGUGGCCUGGCACAUGGUCUGUCAUUGGGAAUGUCCCAUAGGCACUCGAGAGGACUGUGUAUUCAGCUGUCGUUGGGGGGGGCGUGUGUGACAGAUGUCCAUUCAGCGUACCUGGUUUCCGGUGUUAAUCUUCAGAAUGUUUCUGACACUAGAAAAUCAGAAGCUUUCCACUGUUCCCAGCACCGUGGCUUUGGGAGAGGCCAGUGAGCCUAUGGUUUUGGAGCCUGGUUGUAUGAGAGAAGCAUGUGUGGAAACACCAGGGGCUGGCUUUGAACCCCAUUCCCCCAACAUGAUGCCAUGUGUGGCAGACAUGAUGCUUGGCUUUGCUCUCUCAGGGUUCCAUCUGCGACAGGGGCUACUUGUGCCUGUGGCCUCAUCAUCUCAGGCUGAAGGCGGCCCUGGUCCUCACCAGAGGGACUUUGUGAAGCAGAAAUAGAUGGCCUGGUGCAGGGGCCGAGCCUGGCCAGGACCUCGGCCCUGGGAGUUGUAAAGAAGGCCGUCCUCUACCAUGAGCAUCUUCACCAAGCUGUGCCCAUGUCACAGUGUGCUCGGUGUCUGCCCUUGUACAGGCCAGCUGCGGGCCGUCUGGUGGCUGUGCUACUUCUACAGCAUUGUCAUGCCCAGCGAGGCCCAGUGUGUCCUCUACCACGAGUUCCAGCUUCCUCUGGCCCACAAGGUGACUGACAAGGGCCUACAGAUCCACUCUGGACUACACCAAACAAAGUCUAGGGAUUCUCAUUGAUCUCCAGAAGAAAGAAGAGGCGCAUGCCUGUCUGCAAGCAGGGAAGAUCUACUACAUCCUGCGGCAGAGCAAGCUGGUGGACCUGUUCAUCCAGAGGCUUUCCCAAACACAGUGUGAUCUGGAACAAAUUGCGAAGCCCACGAGCCUGGUGAAGCUUUCAUUAUUGAGCACCUGCUGUAUACGUCCUUGAGCUGAGGAGAAGGAUCAACAGCUCAUGGCCAAGAGGGGACCAAGCCCACCCACAAACACUGUUGAUCUGUGGCCCUGAACUGCGGCAGGGAUGUGGCAACGCAGAAAGGAAGCAGGUGGCACAGAAUGUGGUCCUGUACACAGGCGACUCCAACCUGGGGCUGGAGCCGUUUGAGGCAGCUGGAGACAUCUUCAACGAGGCCUGGGAGCGGGAGAAAUCCGUGUCCUUCUACCGGGACCCGACCCUGCCCCUGGCAGUGACUACGGGCAACUGCAAGGCGGAGCCGCAGCUGUGCAACAAGCUGGUGGCACUGCUGGCCACGCUGGAGGAGCCCCAGGAGGGCUUGGAGGUUGCCCACAUGGCCCUAGCACUCAGCAUCACUCUGGGGGACCGGCUGAAUAAGCACGUGGCCUUCCACAGGCUGGCUGCUCUGCACCACUUGCUGGGCCAUGGCAAGCUAGCGGAGCACUUCUACCUCAAGGCCCUGUAGCUCUGCAACUCACCACUGGAGUUUGACGAGGAGACCCUCUACUAUGUGAAGGUGUACCUGGUGCUCGGUGACAUCAUCUUCUACGACCUGAAGGUCGGUGGGGAGGAGCAGGGCUCUGGGUGUUUCCAGCCCCCUUGGAGUAGGAUCUCCACCCAGACCCCAGGGGCCUGGGUUCCAGCCUUCCUUAGGAAUGGCCCAGUGGCCUCCCUGGAGCUCUGCACACAGCUGGAGAAACCAGCAAGGUUCACAGAUACAACCCAGCUCCCAAGCUGGCCAGGCCCCACCCUCAAGAACUCAGUCUCAGCCUGGGAGGCUGACACAUAAGCGGGCAAUGGUGGCCUCUGGGUAAAGAAGGGGGAUUGUAGUCAGGGGGGCCCUCCUGGAGGAGGUGACACCAAACUGAGUCUUCACACUGAAGUGUCAGGUUGCAUUUAAGAAAGAAAACAAGGUCAGGAAGAGGACAUUUUGGAGGACGGCAUCAUCCUCACAUUGAAUCCACAUUGCAAGAUCUAACCCAAGUCCCAGUGCCUCCUCUAGGAAGCCUGCCCAGGGUGCCAGCCUGCACUGAACUCCUUCCUGGAGUCCUGAGACACCUUGAAUCUUCACAUCACCCAGGAAGGGUGGGGUGGGACCCGUGUCUUACCAUCCACUUCACAGUGGAACCCCAGCUCACAGCAGGUGCAGUGGGGCGGGGCCCUAGCCAGCCAGGUUGAGACCUUGCUGGGUCGGGUCUGUCUUAAGGGGAAGUGCUGUGCUCUCUCUGGCCCCAGCCCUGCAGGGGUGGAGAGCUGGGACUGGCAGACUCAGACCUGGGGUGUCUCCACCCCUCUGCCCAGCAGGCACCCGCCCCUCCUCAGCAUAGCACUGGCACCACGUCAGUACUCCCUAUGGGCUGAGGGGUCAGGGCGCUCCAGUCCAGGGCCCGAGAUCUUGGCCUUAGAACAACAUGAGGAGCUGGAGCAGCCCUAAGACCCCGCCCCGUAUCCCUCACCACAGGCCUGGGGCUGUCCGGGAGGCCCCUGCCCAGUGCUGGUGACACCUGGUGGUCAGAAGAGGUCCCUGUGGCCUCCCAAGUCCCAGCCAGACAGGGAGGUACCAGGUGUCAGGCCCAGAGGGACGCUGCUCACCGCUCAUGGGCUUGCCUGGGACCCAGGGAACGGGCCUCCCAGAAGUGGGCCUUUAUCUCCUUUGUCAACGCUGCCGCCCACUCUGCCUGCCCUGGAGAAAGGAAAGGGCCAAGUAGUACCUGAGAGGCCGAAGUCCAUGGAAGGGGCAGAAGCCUCCUUCACCUCCUUCUUGUGCACAGCCCUCUGGGCCUCAUCGUAACUAUGUUGUCAGCCCAGGCCAGCUUCCCACAGGGAGGCCCCCUCAGAAUUCCCCAGGGGCGACUGUCUUUCCAAGGCCACACCCUUCUCCUUGUAUAGGAGGCUCUGGACCCGGGGGCCAGAGGAGUGGGAGAGAAAGCUGGGCUGGAUGGGGCCUGGAAGGCUGGCGGAGAGGCAAGGUAAAUGGGCAUCCUAGCCGAUUGCCUCUAAAAUGAGGUCCCCUUUACUACACGUGAGAGUGAGCCCUGGAAUAGGGUGGAUUAAGUGUGUCCUGGCUCAGCCUGCCACUCACUAGCAGCUGCACACACUACAGGCACAUGGAAAUGCACAUGCAAAUGCACAGGCACAGGGGCACAGGCACCCAAACACGCACACGCAGAGACAUGCUUUGGCUGGCUGCUUCCUGUGUAGUUAGGAAGCCGCCACCCCUUCAGGAAGCCCUUGUCUCCCACCCCGGCUAAGUCAGGGGCCUCCUGGGCCCCCACAGGCUCCUGGGCUUCCCUCUGCCACAGCCCGGGCCACCUUUGUGGUCAGUGUUCAGUCCCAGGUCCCUCAGACUGGGAGCAAGGACGUUAGGCUCAGCCAUGCACCCAGCACAGAGUCCAGUGUUUCGCUGGGCCGGGGGCCACUGGAUGUGCAGCGGUGGUGACUCAGGGUCUUCUCACGCCCCUGCUCCAUGUGUGGGGCGGGGCAGUGAGGGAAUGGACUGCUGCAUCUUGGACUUUGUCCUUGGCCCGGGGAGCCAUCUUGAGAUGGUAAAGAGGGACAGGAUAGGCCUGGGUCUUAGAGAGGUCCCUUGGGUGUCCCCCAUGUGGAGGAGGCGCCUGGGGAGAACCCGGCAGGGAGAUGGGAGGGUCAAGGUGGAGGUCUGGGAGGCAGCAUCCCAACCCAGGGAUGGUGACUUUGAGCCAAAGAUGCAUUGAAAAUGGGAGUGGAUGUCUGGGGAGUCACACUCCGUCAAUAGUUCAGGAAACAUUGCCAGGGAGGACACCUGUGAGAUGGUUUUGUACCUGGCCUGGCCCGUGGAGGGCCUGGAAAUGAUCAGCAUAGACAGGGGCCAGAGGGGAGCCUGGGUCACUCAACGCUGUGCCCCUGCUGUGGCUUGGAGCCACGGGUCCUGCAUGGAACUCUCAGAGCAGGCAGGAUCUGCCCUGACCUUAGCCCAUGGGGAAAGCAGCCACUGCCUGCAGAGAGGGUGGGACUGGGGCAAGAGGCUUGGGGUGAGUGGAGCAUAGGGAUAGUCCGGAAGGCGUCCAGGGGUUUCAGGGUUGUCCCCAACUCCUGCAGCUGCGACCACAGCAGUGUCACAGGCUUCAGGGCUCAUGGGGUGAGCCAGCAUUGGCUGGACAUGUGGAAUGACCUGGAGACAGGAACAGCCUCUGGGAAGACAGGCUCCGAGUCCCCUUCAGGAAUGGUUUGAUGCAGCCGGGUACUACCAGCUGGCACUGGCAGCCGCCAUGGACCUGAGCAACAAGAAGGGCACAGCUGAAGACCUACACGCGGCCGGCCACCAUCUCCCACAACUUCCUCCUGGACCACAAGAAGUCGCUCCUCCUCUACCAGAAGGCCAGGACCUUUGCCACAGUGCUCAAUGUCUGCAGGGUCAACCUGCCUCCUCUGCCACUCUGCGGGUGGGCCCCCUGGUUGGCCCCUGCCACCCUCACUGAGGACAGCAUCCGAGGGAGUGGGUUUUAUGCCAGGAGGAUGGUCUCCUGCCUCUCCUGGUGUCUCCCGUGGCUCAUUUUCUGGGAAAUGGAGGCAUGAAAGCAGGGUUCAAAUAGCAAUAAAUGCUUUUUUGCA